CGGAAGGACGUGGCGGCCAGGGCGCAGCGUUACAGGAGAAGACGGCCGGAGAUCGCCUCUCUGGGUCCUGCCCCAGUUUCUAGGCGACGCAUCGACGUCCCGCCCGAGUACCAGGCUCGGCGAGCAGAUGUCCGGCGUCCCCGGAACUACCGCUGGCCCGGACCUACCUGCCAGGACACGUCAGCGUUUGUGCCGCUGAACGUAGACGCGCGGAGGCUGGCUACAGCCAGUCACCGUCCCAUCCAGAGAACUACGCUGGGCCGGCGCGCACCGGGAGCGCCAGCCGGCACGAGCCCCGCUCUGCGACCGUGCCUUCGUCACGUCGGCCGGGGCAUCGGUGACGCCGGACACUAACAACGACUGACGACGACCAGAUCGCAUCGACGGACCACAGACCGGGGGACGCCGAUACCCGCGUCGAACAGAACCGGUGACCUAGAGGUGACACAAGUCAUCCACGCACAGGACGACUCCGAGGAUGAAGCUGACCAAGAGUUAACAGCCUACGUCCUGCAUUAUCCCUGCAGACAUGAAUUUUGAGAGGCUAUGUGUCAAAGUUACAUGAGGGGGCCAAAGACAGAGACUGACUGAAAACGUCAUAAAAUUCUGCGAUGAGGUACAGAAGCUGUCCUUGGAGUUCACGGUGUCUAGCCCUGUGGGAAAAGGAAGGCCCUGGCUGCCUCAUUGCAGAGCCGACUUCGGGACCAUUCCACCUCGAGGAAGAAGAGAGCACCGAUCCCUCUCUCGCUCCCCCACAGAGCACCCCUUUUCUG